AUUAUUAUCAUUAGGAAAUAAUAUCUCCAUAAAUUCAUUUGUACAUAAUAAACAAAAAUUAUUACCUAUUCGAUAGGAUUUAGCUUUACAAACUAUCUCUCA